rnacentral:rRNA from 1 species
UACGGGGGGAGCAAACGUUGUUCGGAAUUACUGGGCGUAAAGGGCUCGUAGGCGGCCAACUAAGUCACACGUGAAAUCCCCAGGCUUAACCUGGGAACUGCGUGUGAUACUGGAUGGCUUGAAUUCGGGAGAGGGAUGCAGAAUUCCAGGUGUAGCGGUGAAAUGCGUAGAUAUCUGGAGGAAUACCGGUGGCGAAGGCGGCAUCCUGGACCGACAUUGACGCUGAGGAGCGAAAGCUAGGGGAGCAAACGGG